rnacentral:misc_RNA from 1 species
GAUGAAGAACGUAGCGAAAUGCGAUACUUGGUGUGAAUUGCAGAAUCCCGUGAACCAUCGAGUCUUUGAACGCAAGUUGCGCCCGAAGCCGUCAGGCCGAGGGCACGCCUGCCUGGGCGUCACACGCCGUUGCCCCCCCGCGCCCCACACCCAACGCUUUGGGAGCGACCGCGGGGCGGGCUGAUGAUGGCCUCCCGUGCGCUCCGCCGCGCGGUUGGCCCAAAUACCGAGUCCCCGGCGACGUGCGCCACGACGAUCGGUGGUUGAGAGACCUCUGUCGCAAGUCGUGCGCGCCCGUCGCGUCACGCGGGCUCGCAUAGCGCCUCGCGCCGCACCCGGUGCGGAGCUUUCAACGCGACCCCAGGUCAGGCGGGGUUACCCGCUGAAUUUAAGCAUAUCAAUAAGCGGAGGA